rnacentral:rRNA from 1 species
AGCGUAGGCGGACUUUUAAGUGGGAUGUGAAAUACCCGGGCUCAACCUGGGUGCUGCAUUCCAAACUGGAAGUCUAGAGUACAGGAGGGGAAAGUGGAAUUCCUAGUGUAGCGGUGAAAUGCGUAGAGAUUAGGAAGAACACCAGUGGCGAAGGCGACUUUCUGGACUGUAACUGACGCUGAGGCUCGAAAGCGUGGGGAGCAAACAG